GACGAACGCUGGCGGCGUGCUUAACACAUGCAAGUCGAACGGAAAGACCCUGCUUUUGUGGGGUGCUCGAGUGGCGAACGGGUGAGUAACACGUGAGUAACCUGCCCUUGACUUUGGGAUAACUUCAGGAAACUGGGGCUAAUACCGGAUAGGAGCUCCUGCUGCAUGGUGGGGGUUGGAAAGUUUCGGCGGUUGGGGAUGGACUCGCGGCUUAUCAGCUUGUUGGUGGGGUAGUGGCUUACCAAGACUUUGACGGGUAGCCGGCCUGAGAGGGUGACCGGCCACAUUGGGACUGAGAUACGGCCCAGACUCCUACGGGAGGCAGCAGUGGGGAAUAUUGCACAAUGGGCGGAAGCCUGAUGCAGCAACGCCGCGUGCGGGAUGACGGCCUUCGGGUUGUAAACCGCUUUCGCCUGUGACGAAGCGUGAGUGACGGUAAUGGGUAAAGAAGCACCGGCUAACUACGUG
rnacentral:rRNA from 1 species